rnacentral:rRNA from 1 species
CGAUUCCCUUAGUAGCGGCGAGCGAAACGGGAAGAGCCCAAACCAACAAGCUUGCUUGUUGGGGUUGUAGGACACUCUAUACGGAGUUACAAAGGACGACAUUAGACGAAUCAUCUGGAAAGAUGAAUCAAAGAAGGUAAUAAUCCUGUAGUCGAAAAUGUUGUCUCUCUUGAGUGGAUCCUGAGUACGACGGAACACGUGAAAUUCCGUCGGAAUCUGGGAGGACCAUCUCCUAAGGCUAAAUACUCUCUAGUGACCGAUAGUGAACCAGUACCGUGAGGGAAAGGUGAAAAGCACCCCGGAAGGGGAGUGAAAUAGAACCUGAAACCGUGUGCUUACAAGUAGUCAGAGCCCGUUAAUGGGUGAUGGCGUGCCUUUUGUAGAAUGAACCGGCGAGUUACGAUUUGAUGCAAGGUUAAGCAGUAAAUGUGGAGCCGUAGCGAAAGCGAGUCUGAAUAGGGCGUUUAGUAUUUGGUCGUAGACCCGAAACCAGGUGAUCUACCCUUGGUCAGGUUGAAGUUCAGGUAACACUGAAUGGAGGACCGAACCGACUUACGUUGAAAAGUGAGCGGAUGAACUGAGGGUAGCGGAGAAAUUCCAAUCGAACCUGGAGAUAGCUGGUUCUCUCCGAAAUAGCUUUAGGGCUAGCCUCAAGUGAUGAUUAUUGGAGGUAGAGCACUGUUUGGACGAGGGGCCCCUCUCGGGUUACCGAAUUCAGACAAACUCCGAAUGCCAAUUAAUUUAACUUGGGAGUCAGAACAUGGGUGAUAAGGUCCGUGUUCGAAAGGGAAACAGCCCAGACCACCAGCUAAGGUCCCAAAAUAUAUGUUAAGUGGAAAAGGAUGUGGCGUUGCCCAGACAACUAGGAUGUUGGCUUAGAAGCAGCCAUCAUUUAAAGAGUGCGUAAUAGCUCACUAGUCGAGUGACACUGCGCCGAAAAUGUACCGGGGCUAAACAUAUUACCGAAGCUGUGGAUUGUCCUUUGGACAAUGGUAGGAGAGCGUUCUAAGGGCGUUGAAGCAUGAUCGUAAGGACAUGUGGAGCGCUUAGAAGUGAGAAUGCCGGUGUGAGUAGCGAAAGACGGGUGAGAAUCCCGUCCACCGAUUGACUAAGGUUUCCAGAGGAAGGCUCGUCCGCUCUGGGUUAGUCGGGUCCUAAGCUGAGGCCGACAGGCGUAGGCGAUGGAUAACAGGUUGAUAUUCCUGUACCACCUAUAAUCGUUUUAAUCGAUGGGGGGACGCAGUAGGAUAGGCGAAGCGUGCGAUUGGAUUGCACGUCUAAGCAGUAAGGCUGAGUAUUAGGCAAAUCCGGUACUCGUUAAGGCUGAGCUGUGAUGGGGAGAAGACAUUGUGUCUUCGAGUCGUUGAUUUCACACUGCCGAGAAAAGCCUCUAGAUAGAAAAUAGGUGCCCGUACCGCAAACCGACACAGGUAGUCAAGAUGAGAAUUCUAAGGUGAGCGAGCGAACUCUCGUUAAGGAACUCGGCAAAAUGACCCCGUAACUUCGGGAGAAGGGGUGCUCUUUAGGGUUAACGCCCAGAAGAGCCGCAGUGAAUAGGCCCAAGCGACUGUUUAUCAAAAACACAGGUCUCUGCUAAACCGUAAGGUGAUGUAUAGGGGCUGACGCCUGCCCGGUGCUGGAAGGUUAAGAGGAGUGGUUAGCUUCUGCGAAGCUACGAAUCGAAGCCCCAGUAAACGGCGGCCGUAACUAUAACGGUCCUAAGGUAGCGAAAUUCCUUGUCGGGUAAGUUCCGACCCGCACGAAAGGCGUAACGAUUUGGGCACUGUCUCAACGAGAGACUCGGUGAAAUCAUAGUACCUGUGAAGAUGCAGGUUACCCGCGACAGGACGGAAAGACCCCGUGGAGCUUUACUGUAGCCUGAUAUUGAAAUUCGGCACAGCUUGUACAGGAUAGGUAGGAGCCUUUGAAACGUGAGCGCUAGCUUACGUGGAGGCGCUGGUGGGAUACUACCCUAGCUGUGUUGGCUUUCUAACCCGCACCACUUAUCGUGGUGGGAGACAGUGUCAGGCGGGCAGUUUGACUGGGGCGGUCG